rnacentral:rRNA from 1 species
CGUUGUCCGGAAUGACUGGGCGUAAAGGGUGCGUAGGUGGUUUAACAAGUUGGUAGUGAAAUUCCGAAGCUUAACUUCGGCGCUACUGCCAAGACUGUUGAACUUGAGUACAGGAGAGGUAAGUGGAAUUCCUAGUGUAGCGGUGGAAUGCGUAGAUAUUAGGAGGAACACCAGUGGCGAAGGCGACUUACUGGCCUGCAACUGACACUGAGGCACGAAAGCGUGGGGAGCAAACAGGAUUAGAUACCCUGGUAGUCCACGCCGUAAACGAUGAUUACUAGGUAUGGGAGGUAUCGACUCCUUCCGUGCCGCAGCAAACGCAAUAAGUAAUCCGCCUGGGGAGUACGGCCGCAAGGUUGAAACUCAAAGAAAUUGACGGGGACCCGCACAAGCAGCGGAGCAUGUGGUUUAAUUCGACGCAACGCGAAAAACCUUACCAGGUCUUGACAUCCUUUGACCGCCUGAGAGAUCAGGAAUCUCUAGCAAUAGAGCAGAGAGACAGGUGGUGCAUGGUUGUCGUCAGCUCGUGUCGUGAGAUGUUCGGUUAAGUCCGACAACGAGCGCAACCCCUGUAUACAGUUGCCAAUAUUAAGUUAGGAACUCUGUAUAAACUGCCGUGGCUAACACGGAGGAAGGUGGGGAUGACGUCAAAUCAUCACGCCCCUUACGACCUGGGCCACACACGUGCUACAAUGGCUAUUACAAAGAGCAGCGAAACUGUAAAGUCGAGCGAAUCUCAAAAAGAUAGUCU